CCAGGGAAGCCCCAAAGGUAGAUGAUUUUUAAAGAUUAAUAUUAGUGAUAUGAGCUAUGAAGGCUGAGGGUAGGGAUAGAGAGUGACAAGAGCUGCUGUUUUAGGUGGAGGGGUUCGAUAAGAUAUCCUUGAGGAAAUGUUAUUGGAGGAGGAACCUGACAAAAAAGGAGGAAGCCAGCUAUGCACCUGUUUUGGGAAGAAGGACAUUCCAACUGGAAAAAACAGCAAGUUCAAAGGCCCUGAGGUGUGCUCGGUGUGUGGGAGGAGCAGAAAGGAGUGAACUGGACCAGACUGAGCCCGUUGAGCAGGAAGGAGAUGAGGGCAAGGGGGCAUGCAGGGCUGGAUGGGCCUUGGGAAGGGCUUGAAUUUGAUUGCCAGUGAGAUGGGAAGCAGUUGGAGCAUCCUGAGCUGAAGAGUGAUGUGAUCUCACGUCCUAAUGGGAUUCCUCUGGCUGCCAUGUGGGCACCAAGGUGGACACAGGGCUCCAGCGAGAAGGCUGCUGCACUAGUGCAGCUGAGAGACGAUGGUGGCUUGGCCAGCGUGGUAGCAGUGGAAGUGGGCAGAUGUGGUUGGUCUGGGGGUGUAAUUUGAAGGAAGGAGUGGGCAGGACUUAGGUGUGGGGGGAGAAAGGGGAGUCAACGACUGUAAGAUUUUUAGCCUGAGCUGUGGGGCAGGGGCCGAGGGAGCCUGUGGACAUGGUAAGCGUCCCAGCGGGAUGAGCAUCACCACGAUACAGGAGUCUGGCAUCCAGGGGCAAGUUCUGGGCUGGAGAUACAAACUUGGGAGCCGUUGGCAUUUUCAUGGUAGUGAGGCCCAGGAUGAGAUCACUAAGGAAGGGAGCAUGGAUGGAACUGAGGUCUGGGCGUGGGAACAGCAAGCUCUGUGAGGAGGUUACUGCAGUCGUCUAGGCGAGAGAUGACAGUGGCCCGGACCAGGGCAUAGGCAGGCGUGAGCGGUCAUCUGGAUGCAUUUUGAAGGCAGAACCCACAAUGGAUUGGUUGCGGGUGAUGACAAAGAAAUGGACCAGGGCCUCCUGAGAACAGAAUAGAGUCAGAACGUGGGGCAGCGACUCUGCUUCCCUCCUUCCCCAGGCCCUGUGGUCUCUGCUGCUCUUUGCGUCUGCUGCUUCCUCUGUUUGCAGGCAGCUGCGGUGCCCCACAGCCCUUCUGUCCCCAUUCCAAAUUCCCCCAGACAGAACUCGGAUUGCUGGCGUCCAGCAUCCAAUCUUGCUCAACCCGCUGUAGCUGGAGGAUUCCUACAGUGAUGUCUGUCUGCUGGGAAGGGCUGUGGACUGGGCGGUCACCUCACACAUUCACACAGUAUCCCUGAUAGUUGGUGUAUUAUAUGGGCAGGCGUUGGGCGUGAUUUGACCCUGUUUUGGUAGGUGGGUGGGACAGACCAUUUACAUAGCCUUAGACUCGUCCUGGGUUGGGUAAUGGGGCAGGGGAAACCAGGAAGGUGGGGUCCGGCAGGCUCUGGCUCAGAAGGGUUAGGGUCGGCUUGGGAAGGUGGUGGGGAUCCAGCACAGCUUCUGCCACCUGUGGGUGCUCCCACAGUAAGGGACACACAGCGAUGACUGAAACAGCCUCCAUGCUGCCCUCACAGAGCACACAUCGCGGGGCGACAACCCCUUACCAGAUGGGGUCAGGGCGGGAAGGGGGAGCCCAGAGGAAGCACCUGACCUAGUUGAAGGUAUCAGGGAGGACUUCCUGGCGUAGAGACCCCAUGAGAUGAGACCUGAAGAGUCAGAUGAAGGGAGUUAGGGACUCUGCUGGUGACUGCUUGUAGCCCAGUUAGUAGAUACUUAAAAAUUUUUUUUUAUAUAACUUUAGAUUUACAGAAAAGUUGCAAAGAUUGUACAGAGACCUCCCAUAUACCUUACACUCAGCGUCCUCUAAUGUUAGCAUCUUACUUAAUUGCAGUACCUUUGUCAAAACUAAGAAAUGAAUGUUGACUAGUAUCCUACUACUGAAACUCCCGACUUUGUUCAUAUUCCGCCCAUUUUCCCACUAAUGUUCUUUUUCUGUUCCAGGAUGCAAUCCAGGGUACCCUGUUGCGUUUAUUCAUCCUGUCUCCUUGGUCUCCUCCAAUCUGUGACAGUUUCUCAGUCUUUGUUUUCCUUGACCUUGACAGUUUUGAGGAGCACCGGUCAGGUAUUUUGUAGAAUGUCCCUCAGUCUGGGAUUGUCUAAUGUUUUUCUCAUGGUUAGACCGGGAUUGUACGUUUGGGGAAGAAUAUCACUCAGGUGAUGGUAACCCGGAUCACUUCGUUACAGCCGUGUCCGCCAGGUUUCUCAGCUGUAACCUGACAGGUUUUCCCUUCCCUUACGCUGUUUAGAAGCAGGUCACAAAAUCCAGCCCGUAAGCUCCAGUUCCUGGAGGGAAAAUAUGAAAGAAUUUGUGUUCAUAUUGUCAGAACCACUACAGUAACUGAUAAACACGGGAAGAACCUUUGAGGCUGUGCAAAUGUCCUAUUUCUCCUCAAAGUUCCACCCACUAAUUUUAGCAUUCAUCUGUGGACCGUGCCUGCAGAAAUCAUUACUGUGGUGUGUUCUAAUGACACUUUUCUAUUUUCCUCAUUUCUCCUACAUUAAUUACUGGGAAUUCUUCUGUAGGAAGGUUUGUCCCUUCUACCCCAUUUAUUUUAUUUGUACAAUCAUUAAUUUAUAUCAGUAUGGACUCAUGGGUAUUUAUUUUAUUCUUUGGGUAUAACCCAAUACUAUCAUAAUUAACUUUUUCACUCAAAUUGUUCAGUUUUGGCCCUAGGGACUCUUUGAGUUUGGCUCUGUAUUCUUUAUUCUUUUUUUUCCUUGAGCACUUCCUUACAUUUUGGCACUGUGAGAUGCUCCAGGCUUACGUUGCCUUUUCCUUGCCCCAGCCCUAGAAUCAGCCCCUUUCCAGGGAGCCCUGGUUCCUUUGAUAGAGAAUGGUAUGAGACACCAAGGUCUGGACACUGAGUGUGGUCAUUGCUGCUGAGGUUUCCUAUUUCUAGUCCCUCUCAGCUGACAGAGCUGGGGAAAAUGUAUGUGUACAAACCCAUGUAUACACACGUCUAUACUUCUGUGUGUGUGUGUGUAUGUAUAGAUAUAGAUACCUGUGUAUAAAAAUAUACCUCAGUCCAUACUGCUAUCUCUGACUAAUCCAGCUCUAGAGGGUUCGUUCUCACCUUCCCCCCUCGUUUUCUUUGUUAACUUCUUUCUCUGGCAAUGAGAAACCUGGCUCAGUGGGCACUUUUUGGUGUUCAUCUUAUGGGCCAUCUUGGCAAGAAUUGGCAGUGUUGGCCAUUCCCACCUUCCGUAAGGAUACUCUUUCCUGGGUUUCUGUGACAAUCCUGUCCCCUGGUUUUUCUCCUGUGUCUUGCUUCUUUGCAAGAAGUUCUGUUUUCGCCGACCUCUUAGCUCUGGUGGGCUCUUCUCCCCUUCCAGCCCGGGCCAUCUUACCCUCUUCUGUGGUCUGUUUCCUGUCUCUGUGCUGAUGAUGUCCACUCUCUGCCCUUAGCCCCACCUCCUCCCUGGGCCCCAGACCUCAGGGUCCUGAGGCCUCAAGAAGCCCUCUCUCCCCACCCUGCCCUCAGGCCGGAUGACCCCUGAGCCCCUAAUACUCACCGUGUCCCACAUUGCAAACCUGCUCCUCCUCUUGGUCCCUAUAUUAGGGGUGGUUCCUCCACACCCCAGGCUCCCAGAGAGAGCCCGGGGCUGCAUCCUUGAUGCCUCCCUCCCCAUCCCCACCCUGCAGCCCAACCCAUCAUCCUCCAGAGCUUGACCACUAGGACUCCUGGACGCUUCUCCCACCUGCCCCUUCUCACCUUUCAUGGCCCUGCCUUGGUCUAACCCUGUCCUCUCCCACCUUGUCUCUGCCUGGCCUCCCAUCUCACUGUUUAACCCCCCUCCCACUUGACAGCUGAGGGAUUUUUGUGAAAGAGAACUGAUCAUGCCUUCCUGCUUGAAGCCUUUCCAUGUUUCUCCAGAGUCCUUAGGACCCAGUCCUAACUCCUUAGACUAGUGCUGAAGACUUGGUGUGAUCUGGUCUCUGACUGUCGCUCAGCCUGUCUCCCUGACCACCUGAGCUGCAGACACACUGAACUUCCUCUCUUCCCUUGAGCAUGGCCGGUGUUCUCACCUGGGCCUCGGCACGGACCCCCUCUUGGCCCCAGCAACCUUCAGCCCAGCCAUUGCUGCCCAAUCCACACACCUCCCACUUUCUUCCCACUCAUAUUACCUUGAAACACUCCCAGACAUCAUCUGGAAAGAUGAUGAACAAGAUGUAACCAGUGGUCAUUUCUGAGUGUUGGAAGUAGGGGAGUUGCAAAAUUUUUUUGCAACAAACACGUUUUCGCUGACUACUAACAUAACACAGCAAGAGCUGUUGUGGGAGCGAGGGUUAACUAAACCAGAAAAAGGUCACAUGCUGUUUGAGCCUAAGAGGAAGAGACCUCUCAAUCAUUUGUGUUACCUGCAGAAGCCGGCCAGGCAGGAGAGAACAGAGGUGUGUUUCCCAAGCACACUGUACAGUCACCCCAGACUGGACUUCGGAGGAGUGCCUGUAAGAUUCCUUUCGAAAUCACAUCAACUUAGGGAACUUUCUACCGUCAGUGUUCACAGUUAUCAUUAUAGACAGGACUUAUGUCAUUUAGACGGUGUUUGACAAGCAUUUGGAACAACUGACUUGUAGAAAAGGACUUUGUACGUCUAAAGGAAGGUUACUAAAGUACGUUGGUGUUGGGAGAAUUCUUGUCUUAUCCUCUGAUAUCAGUGAAUUCUGUGUAAAGGAACUAUGGGUGCAUCUGCUUUGAGACCUUUUGCGGCUUCACAUCUGGCUGGCACGUGCUGCCCACGCUGACAUGGCGCUGCUUCAUGCCAGGCACCAGUGUACACCCUUUGCAUGUAUGAACUCAGUAAUAACCUCACAUGGCCCUUAGGAGGCAGCUGCUGUCAUUAUCCCGGUUUUUCAGUGAGGCGUUUAGAGUUUAACUCAGUUGUUUCAGGUUCCAGAGCUAGUAAGUGGCAGGACUGGGAUUUGAACCCAGGAAUACCGCUGGUUCUGUUUGUGCCUUCAACCCCCUUCCUCCUGGACCUGGACUCCAUUCUUAAAGGAGAAGCUCAGGUUCCUUCUUUUGUUGUUGUUUUUUGUUUUUUGGCCUCGCGGCAUGGCUAACAAGAUCUUAGUUCCCUGAUCAGGGAUUGAACCCCGGGCCCUCCGCCGUGAAAGCCCGCAGUCCUAACCACUAGACCUCCAGGGAGGUCCCUGAGAUGUUCACAGUUCUGAAUACUGCAAUUUCUUCUGUUCAGAAGAGGUUAAAUGACUUUCUUUUCUAGUUGCCAAAAAUCUGUUUUCAACAUCCCCAAUUACUUGCAAAGAGAAACACUUUUAACUUUUUCUUUUUAAGGGAAAAUUUCAAACAUGCACAAAAGCAGAGAGAAAAGUCUAAUGAACACCCAUCACCCAGCUUCAGCAGUUAACCAGCAUGCGGCCAUUCUUGUUCCAUCCAUAUUCUGCACCUUUUCCUCCCCUGCUCAGUUAAUUUUAAAGCAAAUCCAGACACACCUGUGCAGGAUGUGAUACUAUCACUGGCUCCGUCCCUGGCUCUCCCAUUUCCUGAAACCCUACCCGCGCCGGGCAUUUUUCCACGUUGCCCUGAAGCCUGAAAACGGCCCUCCUAGUGACCGUGGAUGGCUGGUGCUGCCUGGCAGGCCCAUCCCCUUCAGAGGGACAUUUAAUCUACGUGUGGCUUUCUGCCGUGAUAGUGGCCUCUUCCUUAUUUGGGUUAUUUUCUGGAUGCCCCCUCCACUCAAGCCAGGUCAGGCCUCCUGUAACACCCCUUGCACUCUGUAACUUCAAGCACAUUAUGUUUAACAUAGUCGAAAUGAAACAGGGAUUUGGGUACUUAUCUGUUAAUUGCCUGGGAGCUCCACGACUCAGGUCUGUGUUGGAGACCUGAGCAUCACCCAGCACAGGGCCUGGCACACAGUAGGCGCUCAGUAACAGGAAUGAAUGAAUGAUUGCCAAGGUCAAUAUCUGGGCGUUUAUCAGGAGGGCAAUAGGAAGCCACAGAAGUGUUUUAGGCAGAACUGGACCCAUUUUUCUCAAACUAAUGUGCAUAUAAAUCCCGUGAGAUCUUGUUAAAAUGCAGAUUCUGAGUCAGUGGGUCUGGGGAGGGGCCUGAGGUUCUGCAUUCCUAACAAGCUCCCAAAUGAUGCCAAUGCUUUGAGUCACAAGGCUCUUGCUGUGCUGUUCAGUAAGGCAGCCACCAGCCACGUGUGGCUGUUGAGGAUUUGAACUGUGGCUGGUGUGACCUGCUGUGUGUUCUAAGUGUAAAAUACCAGCCAGAUUUCAAAGACUUAGCACAAGAAAGAGAAUGUAAAAUAUCUCGUUAAUAGUUUUUAUAUUGAUCUCAUGUUAACAUGGUAAUAUUUUGGAUCUAUCAGGUUAAAUAAAAUGUUAUUAAAAUUCAUUUUACCUGGUUUUGGUUUUUAAUGUGGCUACUAGAAAAUUUUAAAUUACAUCUGUGGUUCUCAUUAUGUUUCUCCUCUCUCUCACCUCUAACAUUUGUACAUGCUUUUCCCUCUUUUUGAAGCACCCCCCCUUCUCCCUACCUCCUCUUCACAACUAAUCACAUACAUCUUUCAGGUCUCAAGAUGUCUCCUCCUCCAGGAAGCCCCCUUGAUCCCCCAGGGUGGGUCAGGUAUCCGUUUUGGGCUUCUGCUCUCUGGGUUUUCCCCAUCCCAGCCCUGACCAUCUGUGAUGUCAGCAUCUAAACGUCUGUCUCCCGGAGACUGGAGACAGGAUGGCGGAGUAGAAGGACUUGAGCUCACGAAAACAUCAAAUCACAACUAACUGCUGAACAACCAUCAACAAAAAAAGACUGGAACCUACCAGCAAAGAUAUUCUACGUCCAAAGACAAAGAAGAAGCCACAAGGAGACAGUAGGAGGGACACUUUCACGAUAUAAAUGUCUGUCUCCCUCUUUAGAAAGAUAAAUCCAUGAGGAUGGGGACAAAGUCUCUUCUGGUCACCACUUUUAUCUCCAGAACCUGGCACAGAGUCAGUAAUAUCUGUUAACUGAAUUAAGAAAUGACAAGAUGUGGGUCGUGCGCACCUGUAACUCUUGAACUGGACCAUGAAGCCCGCUUUCGAGGUCUUGUUUAAUGUGCCCUGACAUCAGCGCAGCAUUCUGAACUGCUUUAACUUUUACUGGGUGUACAGUAGACAUGUUGUGAAUCUCAUCAGCACAUGCACCAGGCGAGAUGUCCAAGAAAGUACGUAAUAGCACUGACAGCAAAACAUCGGAAACAAACCUGAUGUCCACCAAAAGGAGAAUGGAUGAAUUGUAUCUUCACACAGUGGAACAUUAUGCAGCAAUGAAAAGGAAGGAACUACAGGUGCGCAAGAAAAAUAAUGUGUGAAACGAGCAAAAUUCAGAAGAUUUCAUAUAGGAUGAUACUAUUUUAUAAAGCUCAAAACCAAGCACACAGAAACAUUGUUUAGGCAUUUGAAAAUAUGUGAUAAAACUGUAUCUUAAAAUAGCAAGGGGGAGAGGGAAUCUUUUUGGAUUGGUUGUACUGUUCAGUUAAAAUGGGUAUAUUUUAUUGUGCAUAAAUUAUACCUCAGUAAAGCUGAGUUAAAAAGGAGAGUUGUGCCUCUGGAUAUACUGUGUAAGGAGGUGAUGCUGGGGGCAUAUGCCACAAUAUGGUGACUCACCUACCUGUCAUGCUGAGGAGGUCAGGCAGAAGAAAGGACCUGAGCCACUUAAUCACUGAGCCAGGUAAGGGACUUUGCUUUCUGUGCUAUGUCUCCAGUUCCAGUUCCAUGCCCGGUGAUUAUUUGGAGCUCAAUAAAUAUAGGUACUUUUAAGUAAAAUUCUUUUGGAAGUAAAAUACAAUUUUCUUAACUGUUUGAAUUUAACAACCCCAAAACACCCUGCCUCUGGAGUGCUUGCUGUGUGAAGUAACGCAUUUCCUUCUGAUUCAGGCCCUUUUGACUUGGAUCCUCUUAUCUGUAGCCAAACACAUCUUAACUGGUGACCGCGUGGUGAGUGAGUUAACUGCUAACAUCUUAGGGGUGUUAAAAAACAGAAUUUAUGGGGGGUGGGGUGGAAGGGAGGCUCAAGAGGGAGGGGAUGUAUGUAUACAUAUAGCUGAUUCACUUUGUUCUACAGCAGAAACUAACCCAACAUUGUAAAGCAGUUAUGCUCCAAUUAAAAAAAAAUAAGACUUAAAAAAAUAUCCCUGGGUAAAUUGAAAUCUAAUUGGCACUAUUUAAAAAUUCAUGAAUUGGGCAGCAUUCUAUACGGCAGACAGAUAUUCCUGGAAGUUACACAACAUGGAAGGCUUUUAUAGUAAGGAGGAUGGGACAAGGAAACGAAGUUAUCAGCAAGGAAAAAAUGAAAGUUCAUUGGUGGAAAACAAAAGUUCAGGUGACAGUGGCUUCUCACUGCCUGAACUGUGGUGUUUUCCAUUGGCUGGGCUUGUUGCAAGACAAGAAGGAAGUCUUCCUUCCCCCUGCUAGGGUAGUAAAGUAGUUGUGCUUCCUGUUUGGGAGUGCAAGGUACCUCUCUUCGUGCUGGGGUCAGUAACUGGCAUCUUCCUGUCUGGGUAAUUGAUACUCCUCCUGUUUGAGAUAACUGACAACGAGUGCUAGGGCAUGAGACCUCCCUCUACAGGCCUCUCUGACUCCAAUUUUAGUUGGUUUCCUUUUAUUAAUUUUCACAGGGGAUACCUACUGCGUGUCAGGCCGUAUGUGAGGCCCUUACCUGCAUGAUUUCUUUGCAUCUUCACAACACCCCUGUGAGGUGCUGUGGGCCCUCAAAGAGACUACAGAUUGUCAAGCUUGCUCUUGCCUCCCAUUGGAUGCCUCCUGGGUCUAGACACACUGCUGUGUCCGCCCAUCACCUUCAAGGAAUUCCAACACUGCAAUCACAUAUUCACGAGCUCAGCCAACUUCCAGAAACAUGAGUGAUAAUAGUAAUCAGUUACCACUAUUUUACGUCACUAAGUUUAGGGAGGUUGGUUAAGCAGCAGUAGCUAACUGAUACACCCCCCUCUCCCCAAGGAUAACCACUGUGCUGACUUGACCUCUAAUACCGUAGAUUAUUUUUUUCCCCCAAUUCUUUACUGUGUAUAAAUGAAAUAAUAAAGUGUAUCAGCCUCCGGGUUUCCUCUUUUA